rnacentral:rRNA from 1 species
GUAAGGAAUAUUGGACAAUGGACGCAAGUCUGAUCCAGCCAUGCCGCGUGAAGGAUUAAGGUCCUCUGGAUUGUAAACUUCUUUUAUAAGGGACGAAAAAAGGCUUUUCUAAGUCGUCUGACGGUACCUUAUGAAUAAGCACCGGCUAACUCCGUGCCAGCAGCCGCGGUAAUACGGAGGGUGCAAGCGUUAUCCGGAUUCACUGGGUUUAAAGGGUGCGUAGGCGGGCAGGUAAGUCAGUGGUGAAAUCCUAGAGCUUAACUCUAGAACUGCCAUUGAUACUAUCUGUCUUGAGUAUUGUUGAGGUAAGCGGAAUAUGUCAUGUAGCGGUGAAAUGCUUAGAUAUGACAUAGAACACCUAUUGCGAAGGCAGCUUACUACGCAUAUAUUGACGCUGAGGCACGAAAGCGUGGGGAUCAAACAGGAUUAGAAACCCUUGUAGUCC